rnacentral:rRNA from 1 species
UACGUAGGGUCCGAGCGUUGUCCGGAAUUAUUGGGCGUAAAGGGCGCGUAGGCGGUCGUGCGCGUCGGAGGUGAAAUCCCCGGGCUUAACCCGGGAGCUGCCUCCGAUACGGCAUGGCUUGAGUCCGGGAGAGGGGAGCAGAAUUCCCAGUGUAGCGGUGAAAUGCGUAGAUAUUGGGAGGAAUACCAGUGGCGAAGGCGGCUCCCUGGACCGGUACUGACGCUGAGGCGCGAAAGCGUGGGUAGCAAACAGG